rnacentral:rRNA from 1 species
GACGAACGCUGGCGGCGUGCUUAACACAUGCAAGUCGAACGGAAAGGCCCUGCUUUUGUGGGGUGCUCGAGUGGCGAACGGGUGAGUAACACGUGAGUAACCUGCCCUUGACUUUGGGAUAACUUCAGGAAACUGGGGCUAAUACCGGAUAGGAGCUCCUGCUGCAUGGUGGGGGUUGGAAAGUUUCGGCGGAUGGGGAUGGACUCGCGGCUUAUCAGCUUGUUGGUGGGGUAGUGGCUUACCAGGGCUUUGGCGGGUAGCCGGCCUGAGAGGGUGACCGGCCACAUGGGGACUGAGAGACGGCCCAGACUCCUACGGGAGGCAGCAGUGGGGAAUAUUGCACAAUGGGCGGAAGCCUGAUGCAGCAACGCCGCGUGCGGGAUGACGGCCUUCGGGUUGUAAACCGCUUUCGCCUGUGACGAAGCGUGAGUGACGGUAAUGGGUAAAGAAGCACCGGCUAACUACGUG